GGAAAUCCGAAUGUGGAGCUACAUUAUUCCUUAUGAAUGCAGAUGUAUCUAUUAGCCUGUGUAUUUUAGCAGAUGUUAUUUUGAAAACAAGAUCCCAAGUCCUCACAGUACAGAAAUUAAUAACUACAGAUUGCAAUGUCAUGGAGAGCUUUUAUACAGGACAUGGCACUAGACAAUCAGAAAUGUUGAGUUUUCAUCUCACCCUCAUAACAGAUUUUCUGUGUGACCUCAGGGAACUUGUAUUACUUUUACCUACUUCUGUUUACCGAUCAGUGAAAUGGCUUUAAUAUUCCUUAUCUGCCAUCGCACGCACACUGUCAGACUCAAUUAGUGUCUGUAAUUCUCUUUAAGCUCUGCAAAUGAUCGCGUGUUUUGGAACAGAAUUAAAACUUGAAUUGUUUAACCCAACCGUUUUCUUACAGCAAAUGCUAAUCACUUGGCAAUAAUUUUCUAGUGUUAAAGAGGGGGGAAAAAGAGUGAGAAGGAAGCAGACCCAGAUCCAGGUAUGCUGGCAGGGUCUGAGGUAGGCUGGGCCUUCCUAAUUGGAGUUGGCACUUUGGUGAAUACGUAGACUUGUCAUGAGGGUGUGCAGAAGAAUGGAGAAAGCAGAAGCUGUGCUUUCAUCCACCAAGCAAAAAUACGCUGCAUUUGGUUCGGUGUGGUUGGGAUCAUAUCCAUCCCACUAAUCCCUUAAAACAGAGUCUUGUGGGUAUCGGCAUUAGCAAUUGGAGAGCAGGUUUCUGUCGCUACAGCCUGCCUGUGAAAAACAGGUACUGAGGUGGCCAGUGGAAGGUGGUAUUUUCCAUCUGUGCAUUGUGAUGAAACCUCAAAAGAUGCCUGGUGCUGUUUACUCAAAAAGCCAUCUGCAUUCUUGUUUCAUGAACGUCCUGAAGAAGUUUCUAACAGCUCUGGCAGAAGGCAAGUGCUCUAAAGAGCUUACAGGCAGAGAAACAUAAAGUGCUCAGCAUGAAGAGUGGACUGAGUUGCGAUGACAGCAAGCCCCCUCAGUCACUCCAGGCUUCAGCAUGCUCACAGAUAUGAAACAAUGAGCACGAGUUGAAGGAUAGAAUAAAAAUGUUGCUUAAAUUUUGCUUCAGUCCCUUUUGUGUGUGUGAUUCCACGUUUGUGCCGCACUCAAUCAGCCAUAAGAGCAAAGAUCACUGGCCACUUGGUGCCUCCAGCACUGGGCUCAUGGUACUCAUGGCUUUGAAGAGCUGUUUGGAGGCUCAAAGCCCAAGAAGAUCCCAAUGAUUCAGAGACAAGCUGGAAUCACAAGAGUCAAACUUACCAAGGGCAUC